rnacentral:rRNA from 1 species
UGAGGAAUAUUGCGCAAUGGGGGAAACCCUGACGCAGCAACGCCGCGUGAGUGAGGAAGGUUUUCGGACCGUAAAGCUCUGUCGAGCGGGAAGAAAUGCAUAGUGGCUAAUAUCCAUUAUGCUUGACGGUACCGCUAAAGGAAGCACCGGCUAACUCCGUGCCAGCAGCCGCGGUAAUACGGGGGGUGCUAGCGUUGUUCGGAAUCAUUGGGCGUAAAGAGCGUGUAGGCGGCUGGAUAAGUCAGAUGUGAAAGCCCUGGGCUUAACCUAGGAAGUGCAUUUGAAACUGUUCAGCUUGAGUAAGGGAGAGGAAAGUGGAAUUCCUGGUGUAGAGGUGAAAUUCGUAGAUAUCAGGAGGAACACCGGUGGCGAAGGCGACUUUCUGGCCCUAUACUGACGCUGAGACGCGAGAGCGUGGGUAGCAAACA